rnacentral:rRNA from 1 species
UACGUAGGAGGCAAGCGUUGUCCGGAAUUACUGGGUGUAAAGCGCGUGUAGGUGGGAGGCCAAGUCUGUGGUGAAAGCGCCCGGCUCAACUGGGCAGAGUCCAUGGAAACUGGUCACCUGGAGGACGGUAGAGGCGAGUGGAAUUCCCGGUGUAGUGGUGAAAUGCGUAGAGAUCGGGAGGAACACCAGUGGCGAAGGCGGCUCGCUGGGCCGGUAUUGACGCUGAGGCGCGAAAGCCAGGGGAGCAAACGGG